rnacentral:rRNA from 1 species
CCUACGGGGGGCAGCAGUGGGGAAUAUUGCACAAUGGGGGAAACCCUGAUGCAGCGACGCCGCGUGAGUGAAGAAGUAUUUCGGUAUGUAAAGCUCUAUCAGCAGGGAAGAAAAUGACGGUACCUGACUAAGAAGCCCCGGCUAACUACGUGCCAGCAGCCGCGGUAAUACGUAGGGGGCAAGCGUUAUCCGGAUUUACUGGGUGUAAAGGGAGCGUAGGUGGCAUGGUAAGCCAGAAGUGAAAACCCGGGGCUCAACCCCGCGGAUUGCUUUUGAAACUAUCAGGCUGGAGUGCUGGAGGGGUAGGCGGAAUUCCUAGUGUAGCGGUGAAAUGCGUAGAUAUUAGGAGGAACACCGGUGGCGAAGGCGGCUUGCUGGACAGAAACUGACACUGAGGCUCGAAAGCGUGGGGAGCAAACAGGAUUAGAUACCCCAGUAGUC